rnacentral:lncRNA from 1 species
GGGCACCCAGACGUCCUCUUUCCUACCUGGAUUCUUAGCAGCCACCACAGCUCCAAUGAUCACAGCUCCAAUAAUGGCCACAGCAGAGACGGCUCCAACGACAACAUAAAUGACAUUGGUUUCCAUGUUGGAAUCAGUGGAUGAAGGAGGCUCUGGGAAGGACAGUGAUCUGGGAUCUGCCUCCGGUCAAGAAUCCCAGACCCUUUGCUACACUGAAGCUGGAGGACAAGUGUGCCUCUCCGGCCUGGGAAGGAGAAAAAGAAGAGCAAGAAGCAAUUGACCCAUUGCUGAAGUACAAACUGAAACGGACAGACGUAAUGAACAGGCAGUGAGGACAUUCCGAAAGUGGAACAAAAGGUAACAAACUCCACCAACCAUGUUCUUCAGAAGAGGUCAGAAUUGAUCGCCAGGAUCCGAAAUUUUGGGGUAACAACCUUCAAAGUCCACUGGAAUCAGAUGACUCCAUGGCUAAACUUUUGGCGUGCAGGCAUGAGACCUGGUGCUGGGGUUCUUUUUCCCACCCUUCUCCAUCCCUCUUCUUUGUGCCCCCAUCUACUCCCAAGCACUAGAUAGGAGAGGAGAGGAAAGAGAUCCCUUAAUAAAGUCUGGUCAGAAAGUGGCAACAGU